CCUACGGGAGGCAGCAGUGGGGAAUAUUGCACAAUGGGGGAAACCCUGAUGCAGCGACGCCGCGUGAGUGAAGAAGUAUUUCGGUAUUUAAAGCUCUAUCAGCAGGGAAGAAGAAAGACGGUACCUGACUAAGAAGCCCCGGCUAACUACGUGCCGGCAGCCGCGGUAAUACGUAGGGGGCAAGCGUUAUCCGGAUUUACAAGGUGUAAAGCGCUCGUAGGCGGUAGGUCAAGUCAAGGGUGAAAGCCCCGCGCUCAACGUGGGAACUGCCUUUGAAAAUGGCAAACUGGAGUGUGUUAGAGGAUAGUGGAAUUCCAGGUGUAGGAGUGAAAUCCGUAGAGAUCUGGAGGAACAUCAGUGGCGAAGGCGACUAUCUGGCACAUAACUGACGCUGAGGAGCGAAAGCGUGGGUAGCAAACAGGAUUAGAUACCCCUGUAGUC
rnacentral:rRNA from 1 species